ACCACUUAGCAACACUUUAACUAUCGCUUAGUCACACCUUAGCUGCCAAUUCAAAGUUAGGAUUCUUUAGACUUCCCAGCUGCUUGCAGCUUACACGCCUGGUGUACCAAUCAACCUCAAAGAAACACAGCUGCAACCACUUCCAGUAUCAACACCCUAGCAACCAUGUAGGACACCCUAUCAACUAUGACAGAUCCCUGCACGGGCACACUGGGCACGUGCCCAAGGUCCUGGCGUCCUUGGCCCUGAUUGGCUUCAAUGGAGCCCUGAUUUGACGAUUCACCAUGUCAAGUGAAUAUAGAAAACAUAGCUACAGUCUUUUGGGGUCUCUUGGCUGGAGGGCGGCUGCUGCUGUCGUCGUCGCUGUCCCUCUUCGUCUUCCUCUGGCCACGUGGAGCGGGAUGGGAGCUCCACACAAACCUGGCAUCGGGGAAAGAGCAGAAAACGGACAGCAUCCUGUGCCCCUCGGGGGUGUAGUCAGUCACCCUCCACCGACCAACCUGCUCCGGGAGCGACGGGACAAAGCAAACACUGUGUCUCCAUGUUUCUCUCAGUACCUGAAGAUCGCCGAGGAGCGGCGCUGAGCACCAGGCACAGCAGGAAUCUCUCGCGUCUUGUUUCAGAGGCCAUGCAGUCUGACUUUCCGUAAGAAGUUCAGGAGCAAAGUGAGGAGCCUGAAUGCUGACCUGCUAUUUUAGAGCUCCGCCACAGACUCCACUAGUUUUGCAUGCUAGCCAACGCAAAAGCUGUCUACAAAAACCGUCAAAGAAAAAGAAAUACCUGCUGACAGCGGUCCUGAAAUCCUCAACUCCACCAGCAGCAUUCAUCCAUGGUGUUGUUAGGGAGAGACUUCCUUUGGUGUGAGUGGCCACAGUCUGACCCAGCAUGCUGCAGCAAAUUUGCUUAUCUCAGAGGGAAGUCAACAGUGAUGUUGCAGAUGCACAAGAGUACCAAGCCUCCCUUUUGGACAACUUGAGGGACCAGAUCAAAAAUGCCUUUGACACCCAUAUUUUAAGUAAGGAGAAGCUCCAACAGCAGUCCUGGCACGAUGUGAUUAUUUUAAAGACUGCUUCACAAAAGUCUCAUCUACGCAUCUACAGGACAGACAUUCCACAUUGCAGUUAAUUACUCUACAUAACAACAGCAACAAUAAUUAUAAUAUUGAUAAUAUUAAUACUAAUACUGGGAAGCUUUUCCAAAUUGUAAUUGUAAUUGUUUAUAUUUCAGCCUGCCUCUUGCUGGCUGUAGUGGAGCUUCUACUGCACAGGAGCUUUACUUUUAAAUUGCAGUUUAUUGGGUGCCUAUCCGUUUAUUUAUCUUAUUUCCUAUUUAAUGUGUAAAUUGAACAUCAGAAUUGGGAUCCAGUCUGUUAGUGAUGGUUUGUUGGGUUGUUGUGCAGAUAAACGAUAAAGUAAACUCUUCCACUUCCCACAAACAGGGUAUGAACCUGUCCUUAUGUGUUUUUAGUAGCUUACCCUGACACCCUGUGGCCACAAUCAGAAGUGCAUUUUUCUGCCCUUCAAUCAUUAACCCACUGAUUCCUGUGUUGAGAGAUGGUGAUAGGCAAUAUUUAAUGAAAGACUGAUUUAAUCGAGCUAUGAAACCCCAGUUGUCCUUUACUAGCCAGCUUUUGUGAUCUUUUUUAAAGUUGGAUUUUUAAAAUAAGUUUGCUAUUUGUUAUCCCCAUUUUCUUGUGAAGAUUGGGAAUUUAAAUGUAUAGUUGAUUUUGGGAUGCUACAGAUUGACAUUUAUAAUUAAAGCUGUUUGCAUGUAC